GUACAUUAUUUUUCCAGUGCUUGUCGAUUCACUAAAAUCAUGUCACAGAUGAAGGAACACAAGCAGGUUCAUGUCUCGGUGAAACAUUUGUCAGAGACCCUUGAAGCAUAUCCAUGUACUAAGUGUGGUGGCUUUCACUGUCCUUUGUGUCCAAGAAACAAAAUCAAAUUUGAUAAAUGUGAUGUUAAAUUGACUGGCCAUCUUCAGUCUCACCUGUCCUGGGUAGUUUUGCAUGGACAAUGCAGGAUAUUUAAAUGCCACCUCAUCUGCCGUGAUAAGUCACACUAUCACUGUCCUAGCUGUGCCCAGACGGUUAUUAGAAGGACAGAUUUUUUAAAACACAUCCUUAAACAUGAGACUGAAAACCUGCCACAGACGAGCCCAAAUCAAGAAAAGACUGGACUGCCACAGACAAGCCCAAAUCAAGAAAAGACUGGACUGCCACAGACGAGCCCAAAUCAAGAAAAGACUGGACUGCCACAGACAAGCCCAAAUCAAGAAAAGACUGGACUGCCACAGACAAGCCCAAAUCAAGAAAAGACUGGACUGCCACAGACAAGCCCAAAGCAAGAAAAGACUGGACUGCCACAGACAAGCCCAAAGCAAGAAAAGACUGGACUGCCACAGACAAGCCCAAAGCAAGAAAAGACUGGACUGCCACAGACAAGCCCAAAGCAAGAAAAGACUGGACUGCCACAGACAAGCCCAAAUCAAGAAAAGACUGACUGGCAUUCUCCUGUUGAUAAUCAGGAUUGUGCACUGAAAUCGAAACCUUUAAAAAGAAAGUUGAAUUUAGUCACAUGCCCACAUUGCAAUAUCUCGUUUAAUAUCGUUUAAAAGAAGCAACAGAUAAAGGUGCUCCUCUUGCUGUGGCUGUUCAUAUUGCACCACCUAAAAAGCAUUGUGUAUCCAUCCUCGAAAACAAAGUGUCACACUACAGCAGACUGGGCCGAGUACUGGUAACGUAUGAUGCUCUGAGAAACAGCCGGCAUUGCCCCUGUGUCAGUGGACGGAUGUCCUGUCCACAUAAGUACAUAGCAAAGUGGUUUCUCUUCCAAACAGACAGACACCUUUUUAGAUCUGUUAAAUCGACUGAACUCAUUGACAUUUUGGACCAACGUCAACAGAGGGACAAACAGGAGGAGGAAGAAGAAAAACACUUUGACUGGAUUAGAAAGCAACAGUUGCAAAGAACACUACAGUACACACUUCAUAAAAAGCAACACCCAGCUGACUUGCCACAGAAUGUUUGCAAAGCAUCAUUUGAUACCGCCCCGCUAAAACAUUUAUUUCCUUCAGAGAAUUUUUGCUGUGAAUGCAACUCCCUCAUGAAUGCAAAAUUCCUCUCAGUGACCCCAUCCAUAUUACUUCAAAGGCAAAGAUUGUAAAUUUAACCUGUGUUUAUGAAGGAAUCAGUACAUAUUACAAGAAUUGCUUGAACUGUGGAAUGAAGCACCGUUACCAAGACUGGGAUCAGGGAAUACACAAUUUGGACAAUUACAUCCUAAUGGGCCUUCAUUUCUGUUUAUAUCUAAGGGCUUCACUACGGACUCAUCAUGCACUAGGCAGAGUGUUUGAAACAAUUGAAGAUUCCUCCAGCAUCAAGCUACCUCGACACAACCGACUGCUUCAUGGUUACUUGUUUUUUGAAGCAUUGACAAGUCAUGAGUAUAAUUUUUCAUGCAUUGAUUGUGGAAUCCACCCACCGGUUGUGAUUAUGGACCUGCAUAAAAAGGGGGUAAACAAAUGGUACUUAACUUAACUGUACUUUAAAUGUAAUUUGUACCUUAACACCAGUAUGUCAUUACUUUUCACAGUGGGUAUAUAUACAUAUAUACAUAUAUAUAUAUAUAUAUAUAUAUAUAUAUAUAUAUAUAUAUAUAUAUAUAUAUAUAUAUACACACACACUAUUGAAACAUGUCUGUGAAUAUUGGAACAUGUUGCAGGUUUUGAAGCCUAAGCCUAACCAAAGUGUUAAA